AUUGAACGCUGGCGGCAGGCCUAACACAUGCAAGUCGAGCGGAUGACGGGAGCUUGCUCCUUGAUUCAGCGGCGGACGGGUGAGUAAUGCCUAGGAAUCUGCCUGAUAGUGGGGGACAACGUUUCGAAAGGAACGCUAAUACCGCAUACGUCCUACGGGAGAAAGCAGGGGACCUUCGGGCCUUGCGCUAUCAGAUGAGCCUAGGUCGGAUUAGCUAGUUGGUGGGGUAAUGGCUCACCAAGGCGACGAUCCGUAACUGGUCUGAGAGGAUGGGCAGUCACACUGGAACUGAGAAACCGUCCAGACUCCUACGGGAGGCAGCAGUGGGGAAUAUUGGACAAUGGGCGAAAGCCUGAUCCAGACAUGCCGCGUGUGUGAAGAAGGUCUUCGGAUUGUAAAGCACUUUAAGUUGGGAGGAAGGGCAGUAAGUUAAUACCUUGCUGUUUUGACGUUACCGACAGAGUAAGCACCGGCUAACUCUGUGCCAGCCGCCGCCGUAACAC
rnacentral:rRNA from 1 species